ACUACGGGGGUCAGCAGUGGGGAAUAUUGCACAAUGGGGGAAACCCUGAUGCAGCGACGCCGCGUGAGUGAAGAAGUAUUUCGGUAGGUAAAGCUCUAUCAGCAGGGAAGAAAAUGACGGUACCUGACUAAGAAGCACCGGCUAACUACGGGCCAGCAGCCGCGGUAAUACGUCGGGGGCAAGCGUGAUCCGGAGUUACUGGGUGGAAAGGGAGGGGAGACGGCAGCGCAAGUCAGGAGUGAAAUCCUAUGGCUUAACCAUGGAACUGCUGUGGAAACUGGGCAGCUGGAGUGCAGGAGAGGUAAGCGGAAUUCCUAGUGUAGCGGUGAAAUGCGUAGAUAUUAGGAGGAACACCAGGGGCGAAGGCGGCUCACUGGACUGUAACUGACGUUGAGGCUCGAAAGCGUGGGGAGCAAACAGGAUUAGAUACCCCAGUAGUC
rnacentral:rRNA from 1 species